rnacentral:rRNA from 1 species
GUCUCUGUUGAAAGUUACGGCGGCGACGGAUUGGCUCGCGUCCGAUUAGCUUGUUGGCGGGGUAACGGCCCACCAAGGCUACGAUCGGUAGGGGUUCUGAGAGGAAGGUCCCCCACAAUGGAACUGAGACACGGUCCAUACUCCUACGGGAGGCAGCAGUGAGGAAUAUUGGUCAAUGGGCGGAAGCCUGAACCAGCCAUGCCGCGUGCGGGAAGGAGGCCCUAUGGGCUGUGAACCGCUUUUGCCUGGGGGCAAUAAGGGCGUCGCGCACGUCCGAUGAGAGUACCAGGGGAAUAAGCAUCGGCUAACUCCGUGCCAGCAGCCGCGGUAAUACGGGGGAUGCGAGCGUUAUCCGGAUUCAUUGGGUUUAAAGGGUGCGUAGGCUGUGCGUCAAGUCAGGGGUGAAAUUCCGGGGCUCAACUCCGGGGCUGCCCUUGAUACUGUCGCGCUGGAGUGCGGAUGCCGCCGGAGGAAUGAGUGGUGUAGCGGUGAAAUGCUUAGAUAUCACUCAGAACACCGAUUGCGAAGGCAUCUGGCGAAUCCGUAACUGACGCUGAGGCACGAAAGCGUGGGGAUAGAACAGGAUUAGAUACCCUGGUAUUCCACGCCGUAAACGAUGAUGGCUAACCGCCGGCGACAUACCGUCGGUGGCCAAGCGAAAGCGAUAAGCCAUCCACCUGGGGAGUACGUCGGCAAC